rnacentral:rRNA from 1 species
CUCCAGACUCCUACGGGAGGCAGCAGUGGGGAAUAUUGGGCAAUGGACGCAAGUCUGACCCAGCAACGCCGCGUGAAGGAAGAAGGCUUUCGGGUUGUAAACUUCUUUUAAGGGGGAAGAGCAGAAGACGGUACCCCUUGAAUAAGCCACGGCUAACUACGUGCCAGCAGCCGCGGUAAUACGUAGGGGGCAAGCGUUAUCCGGAUUUACUGGGUGUAAAGGGGGCGCAGACGGCAAUGCAAGCCAGGAGUGAAAGCCCGGGGCCCAACCCCGGGACUGCUCUUGGAACUGCAUGGCUGGAGUACAGGAGGGGCAGGCGGAAUUCCUAGUGUAGCGGUGAAAUGCGUAGAUAUUAGGAGGAACACCGGUGGCGAAGGCGGCCUGCUGGACUGUGACUGACGUUGAGGCCCGAAGGCGUGGGGAGCAAACAGGAUUAGAUACCCUCGUAUCA